rnacentral:rRNA from 1 species
UACGGGGGGGGCAAGCGUUGUUCGGAAUUACUGGGCGUAAAGGGCUCGUAGGCGGCCAACUAAGUCCGACGUGAAAUCCCCAGGCUUAACCUGGGAACUGCGUCGGAUACUGGUUGGCUUGAAUCCGGGAGAGGGAUGCGGAAUUCCAGGUGUAGCGGUGAAAUGCGCAGAUAUCAGGAAGAACACCCGUGGCUAAGGCGGUUCUCUAGUACGGUACUGACGCUGAGACGCGAAAGCGUGGGGAGCGAACAGG